AUGGCGUCAGCGCUUGAAACGAAUGAAAUGAUCAUGCUGAAAAAAAAACUAAUCAAUAGCCAUUGCCAUAAAUUACUGCAGGAAGUGCUAAAAAAAAACAUGAAUUCCUGAAAGAAGACCGGCCGUACCUCUGGCAUGUAUCGCUCGGAAAACGACAUUGGUGAAUAGUAGUCUGAAACAUUUUGUUUUAUCUGAUGGAGAAAACAACCCGAGGGAUGAACAAAAGAAACUUUCAACGCCACCACAUAUGGAUUUACACAAAGCACAAAGGGACCAUCUAUAAACAUAAAGCAAGAGCAAGGGAGGAGCCAACAUGUUAAAGAAAAGUGUCGCUCAGAUAGAACCUCUAACCCUGAACUUUUUGUUUGCACAUGUCAACCAACUUGUUUGUUCAUAAACAAACCCAUGCUGAACGCUCUCUCCCCUUGUGCAACAGUCGGUUCCAUUUCUCAUAAUCUCCCCUCAUCGUUAUGGAGACAGAAUGAUUUAUACAUAUGAGCGUUUCUUUUUCACGAACACAUUCAUUUCAUGAAGCCCCUCUCCCAUAGCCCAUCACGCCGUGCUCGGUUUAAAUUGUCUUUUUUUUGGAAUCUGAUCCUUGAUUCAAAAUGGCAUUGUUAAUUUUGCAUUUCGCCGGUGGAUGGUGUGAAUUUGACAGCAAUGCGGACAAUGUAACUCCAGAAAGAUUUUUUUUUAAAAAAUGCCAAGGUUCCCAAUGUUAUCUUACUGAUGUGUACGUUUUUAUAUACUUAACACAUUUCAAAAACGAAUUAAAACGCAUAAUCGCAAUUAGCAACAAAUAUAGCUGCUUUGCUGAACUAUAUGUAUGUUAAAACCAUCAGCAACCAGGAAUACGCCAUUCCUUCAAUACGCCUCGGCUUCCUUUGCAGAAAAAAGUCUCCACGUGGUAUGUUUUUAAAAUCAUAAUGUAUUGCUACAAAGACAUUUUUCAGAGUCCCAGGAGAGAAGGCUGUGGACAAAAACCUUAGUAUGUCUAAUAAUGCUCUUGUUGUUUUGAGAGUUUCAGUUUCUUAAAGAUCUAUUCGGGACUUUGUAGAGAGGGAGGAAAACGGCUCCAGUAGCGAUAGUUUUUUUUUGGGGGGGCGGUGGUGGUGGUGUAAUUUGUGAUUGUGAAAUUGGCUUGAAAAAUUGGAAUUGUUCACCUUUAAAAUGCCCAAAAGAUUGCCUGCAAUUAGACAUGUACCGAGAUAGAUUUUCAGUUUAUUUUGUAAAGUGCCAUUUUAAAAAAAUAUCUAUAUCUAUAUCAAUCUAUAGAUAACUUUGCCUGUAGGUACAGCUUAUUGUGCCUGUACACGUAUCAUCUUGUGCUGCAACUGCUGCCCUUUAUAAUUAACCAUAGUAGUAGGGUCAGUUCCAUUUAAGUGAAUAUUUAUGUUAACUGAAUAGAAAUUGGGGAAGCUCGUUUUCUGCCUAAGUCUGUUUUCUUUAAAAAAAAAGUUAAAUGAAUUCCUUUAUUUCAAACAGGGUUUGCAUUGUGAGUAUAAGAAAAAUAAAAUAAAAGCAGCAUAAACGUUUCCUAUUUUAUAAAUCUAUUGCUGUCAAACAUGUAGCAGAAUUAUUGCAUUUGAACAUGGAUUUUAAUGUGAAUUUCUGCUAUGUAAAUAAAUUGCGCUAUGUAAACCAGGUUCAUUGACUGGUUCUCUGUCCCCUGUAUACUCUGCAGCUUUACAUUCGGAUUUGUUGUCAAUUUCCAUGUAACUCAAAGUUAAAUUACGGUUAGGGCAAACAUGUUAUUUCUUAAUUUGUUUGGAGUGCAAGUUCCCUUUGGCUAGUGGUGUCUGUGGUAUAAUGUAAGUGAUUUGAACAGAUACAAUACAAUAACAGGAAUACUAAUAAAAGCUUGGUGUAACCAAUGGUUUGCAAUCUCCAGUCACGCUCUGAUUUGAGGAAAUCCUAAUGUUUGUGAUGGAUUGGUAAUUUGAUACUACCAGUGGAAGCACUAAAUCAGGGUAGACAUGCAUGUGAAUGCAGCAUAAUUUCCAUUUUGCUCAAAUUGACAGUAACUGAAGGUGAUUUUGUAUUGUAAAUGUGGGUAUUAUAUUGGUUUCUUGUAGUAACUUAGUUACCCUCAAUUCCAUAACUUUUGUUGUGUUGUUUUGCUUCCCUAUUAGACAACAAAUGGAAAAACCCAUACAUUUUUCUGGCAUAACACCAACAAUACCUAGUCACUCUGCUCAGUUCCCUCCAGAAACCAUGACUGCAAUUCCAAUCACCCAUCCCAGCUGCUGCUUCAGACUGAACUUAAUGGGACUCUAUAUCAGUCAUCUCUUUAACCCACUACACAGCUUCAAAUCCCACAUUUAUCCACCACCAAGGUGGCCUGUUUACAUCUCUGCAAUACCACAUGCUCCCUAUGCCUAUCACAAUUGGGAUUCUCAUCCUUGCCAUCAUCAUCUCCCGGUUCAACUUCUUUAUGGCUUCAUUUUAUAUGGAUUUGAAUUCCUCCAAAAUUAUGCCGUCUUUAUUCUGCACUAAGUUUACUGACUUUUUACCAAGUCCCAAUCACCUAUCAUUCCUAACCCCUAACACAUUAAUUAGAACAUUUUCCUAAACUCUUUGAUAACCUCAUUCUACCCUGCCUCUGAAACAUCAUGCCAUAUGUUCCAGGCUGCACCCUUUGCUCUUCUGUCUCUAGUCCACAAUGCAUACCUUCUGCUGCUCCAUUAUGGUCGUUUCGCUAUUGCAUCCUUGAAUUCUCUUAUAAAAAAUGUCUUGCUACAUCUCUCCUAAUUUUCAAAACCUCGUAAAAUCCUAACUCUCGAGCCAUAUAUUUGCUCACCUCCCUUAACCCUUCCUUCAACUCAUGCUUGGUAUGUGUUCUCUUCCCUACACACACAUUAUAAAGCAUCUUGGGAUUGAAGGUGCUAUGUUAAAAGCGUUAUAUAAAUGCAAAUUGUACUUAAGUUUCCUCCAAGUAGCAGAACUAGCUCUGCUGCAGACUUCAGAUCAUUAAACUCAAGGCAUUUCUCCAUUGCCUAAUUGUU